UAGGGAAUCUUCCGCAAUGGACGCAAGUCUGACGGAGCAACGCCGCGUGAGUGAAGAAGGAUUUCGGUUCGUAAAACUCUGUUGUUAGAGAAGAACAGCGCAUAGAGUAACUGUUAUGCGUGUGACGGUAUCUAACCAGAAAGCCACGGCUAACUACGUGCCAGCAGCCGCGGUAAUACGUGGGUGGCAAGCGUUGUCCGGAUUUAUUGGGCGUAAAGCGAGCGCAGGCGGUCAAUUAAGUCUGAUGUGAAAGCCCCCGGCUCAACCGGGGAGGGUCAUUGGAAACUGGUUGACUGGAGUGCAGAGGAGGAGGGUGGAAUUCCAUGUGUAGCGAUGAAAUGCGUAAAUAUAUGGAAGAACACCAGUGGCGAAGGCGACUCUCUGGUCUGUAACUGACGCUGAGGCUCGAAAGCGUGGGUAGCAAACAGG
rnacentral:rRNA from 1 species